rfam:Nippostrongylus brasiliensis genome assembly, scaffold: NBR_contig0007264
GUCUCAGUAGUGUAAUGCUUAACACAUGAGCCCAGGACAGGCGCGAAUCGUGGGUUCGAAUCCCGCCUGUGCCG